ABUCGAACGGUAACAUUUCUAGCUUGCUAGAAGAUGACGAGUGGCGGACGGGUGAGUAAUGCUUGGGAACUUGCCUUUGCGAGGGGGAUAACAGUUGGAAACGACUGCUAAUACCGCAUAAUGUCUACGGACCAAACGGGGCUUCGGCUCCGGCGCAAAGAGAGGCCCAAGUGAGAUUAGCUAGUUGGUAAGGUAACGGCUUACCAAGGCGACGAUCUCUAGCUGUUCUGAGAGGAAGAUCAGCCACACUGGGACUGAGACACGGCCCAGACUCCUACGGGAGGCAGCAGUGGGGAAUAUUGCACAAUGGGGGAAACCCUGAUGCAGCCAUGCCGCGUGUGUGAAGAAGGCCUUCGGGUUGUAAAGCACUUUCAGUUGUGAGGAAAAGUUAGUAGUUAAUACCUGCUAGCCGUGACGUUAACAACAGAAGAAGCACCGGCUAACUCCGUGCCAGCAGCCGCGGUAAUACGGAGGGUGCGAGCGUUAAUCGGAAUUACUGGGCGUAAAGCGCACGCAGGCGGUUUGUUAAGCUAGAUGUGAAAGCCCCGGGCUCAACCUGGGAUGGUCAUUUAGAACUGGCAGACUAGAGUCUUGGAGAGGGGAGUGGAAUUCCAGGUGUAGCGGUGAAAUGCGUAGAUAUCUGGAGGAACAUCAGUGGCGAAGGCGACUCCCUGGCCAAAGACUGACGCUCAUGUGCGAAAGUGUGGGUAGCGAACAGGAUUAGAUACCCUGGUAGUCCACACCGUAAACGCUGUCUACUAGCUGUGUGUGCCUU
rnacentral:rRNA from 1 species